rnacentral:rRNA from 1 species
GACAGAGGCCUCGAGCGUUAGGCGGAAUCACUGGGCUUAAAGCGUGUGUAGGCGGGCCCGUAAGUGUCUUGUGAAAUCCCACGGCUCAACCGUGGAACUGCUGGGCAUACUGCGGGUCUUGGGCCAACUAGGGGCAGCCGGAACAAGCGGUGGAGCGGUGAAAUGCGUAGAUAUCGUUUGGAACGCCAAUGGUGAAAACAGGUCGCUGGGGAUGAGCUGACGCUGAGACACGAAAGCCAGGGGAGCAAACGGG